rnacentral:rRNA from 1 species
UACGAAGGGGGCUAGCGUUGCUCGGAGUUACUGGGCGUAAAGGGUGUGUAGGCGGUUUUCUAAGUUUGGUGUGAAAUCUCCCGGCUUAACCGGGAGGGUGCGCCGAAAACUGGGAGACUAGAGUGCGGGAUGGGAGAGUAGAAUUCCUGGUGUAGCGGUGAAAUGCGUAGAUAUCAGGAGGAAUACCGGUGGUGCAGACGGCUCUCUGGACCGCAACUGACGCUGAGACACGAAAGCGUGGGUAGCAAACAGG